CAGCCGCCACGGGAAUACGGAGGGUGCAAGCGUUAAUCGGAAUUACUGGGCGUAAAGCGCACGCAGGCGGUCUGACAAGUCAGAUGUGAAAUCCCCGGGCUUAACCUGGGAACUGCAUUUGAAACUGUCAGGCUGGAGUCUUGUAGAGGGGGGUGGAAUUCCAGGUGUAGCGGUGAAAUGCGUAGAGAUCUGGAGGAAUACCGGUGGCGAAGGCGGCCCCCUGGACAAAGACUGACGCUCAGGUGCGAAAGCGUGGGGAGCAAACAGGAUUAGAUACCCCGGUAGUCCCUGUCUCUUAUAA
rnacentral:rRNA from 1 species